rnacentral:rRNA from 1 species
GGGGGGAUCGCAAGACCUCUCACUAUUGGAGCGGCCGAUAUCGGAUUAGCUAGUUGGUGGGGUAAAGGCUCACCAAGGCAACGAUCCGUAGCUGGUUUGAGAGGACGACCAGCCACACUGGGACUGAGACACGGCCCAGACUCCUACGGGAGGCAGCAGUGGGGAAUUUUGGACAAUGGGGGAAACCCUGAUCCAGCCAUCCCGCGUGUAUGAUGAAGGCCUUCGGGUUGUAAAGUACUUUUGGCAGAGAAGAAAAGGUAUCCCCUAAUACGGGAUACUGCUGACGGUAUCUGCAGAAUAAGCACCGGCUAACUACGUGCCAGCAGCCGCGGUAAUACGUAGGGUGCAAGCGUUAAUCGGAAUUACUGGGCGUAAAGCGUGUGUAGGCGGUUCGGAAAGAAAGAUGUGAAAUCCCAGGGCUCAACCUUGGAACUGCAUUUUUAACUGCCGAGCUAGAGUAUGUCAGAGGGGGGUAGAAUUCCACGUGUAGCAGUGAAAUGCGUAGAUAUGUGGAGGAAUACCGAUGGCGAAGGCAGCCCCCUGGGAUAAUACUGACGCUCAGACACGAAAGCGUGGGGAGCAAACAGGAUUAGAUACCCUGGUAGUCCACGCCCUAAACGAUGUCAACUAGCUGUUGGGGCCGUUAGGCCUUAGUAGCGCAGCUAACGCGUGAAGUUGACCGCCUGGGGAGUACGGUCGCAAGAUUAAAACUCAAAGGAAUUGACGGGGACCCGCACAAGCGGUGGAUGAUGUGGAUUAAUUCGAUGCAACGCGAAAAACCUUACCUACCCUUGACAUGUCUGGAAAGCCGAAGAGAUUUGGCCGUGCUCGCAAGAGAACCGGAACACAGGUGCUGCAUGGCUGUCGUCACCUCCUGUCCUGAGAUGUUGGGGUUAAUUCUCGCACCAGCGCAACCCUUGUCUUUAGUUGCUACGCCAGAACACUCUAA